AUGGCGGACCAGCUCACCGACGACCAGAUCGCCGAGUUCAAGGAGGCCUUCAGCCUCUUCGACAAGGACGGAGACGGCUGCAUCACCACCAAGGAGCUUGGAACUGUGAUGCGCUCGCUGGGGCAGAACCCCACUGAGGCAGAGCUUCAGGAUAUGAUCAAUGAAGUGGAUGCUGAUGGCAAUGGAACGAUUGACUUUCCUGAGUUCCUCAACCUGAUGGCACGUAAGAUGAAGGACACUGAUUCCGAGGAGGAGCUUAAGGAGGCUUUCCGUGUGUUUGACAAGGACCAGAAUGGUUUCAUCUCGGCAGCUGAACUCCGCCAUGUCAUGACCAACCUUGGUGAGAAGCUGACAGACGAGGAGGUGGAUGAGAUGAUCCGUGAGGCUGACGUGGAUGGUGACGGCCAGAUCAAUUACGAAGAGUUUGUGAAGCUAGUUUAG
rnacentral:rRNA from 1 species